rnacentral:rRNA from 1 species
AUUGAACGCUGGCGGAAUGCUUUACACAUGCAAGUCGAACGGUAGAGGGGGCAACCCCUCGAGAGUGGCGAACGGGUGAGUAAUAUAUCGGAACGUGCCCAGUCGUGGGGGAUAACGUAGCGCAAGUUACGCUAGUACCGCAUACGAUCUAAGGAUGAAAGCGGGGGAUCGCAAGACCUCGCGCGAUUGGAGCGGCCGAUAUCAGAUUAGGUAGUUGGUGGGGUAAAGGCUCACCAAGCCAACGAUCUGUAGCUGGUCUGAGAGGACGACCAGCCACACUGGAACUGAGACACGGUCCAGACUCCUACGGGAGGCAGCAGUGGGGAAUUUUGGACAAUGGACGCAAGUCUGAUCCAGCCAUUCCGCGUGCAGGAUGAAGGCCCUCGGGUUGUAAACUGCUUUUGUACGGAACGAAAAGGUCUCUCUUAAUACGGGGGACUCAUGACGGUACCGUAAGAAUAAGCACCGGCUAACUACGUGCCAGCCGCCGCAGUAA